rnacentral:rRNA from 1 species
CAGUCGCCGCGGGAAUACGUAGGGUGCAAGCGUUAAUCGGAAUUACUGGGCGUAAAGCGUGCGCAGGCGGUUCGCUAAGACAGAUGUGAAAUCCCCGGGCUUAGCCUGGGAACUGCAUUUGUGACUGGCGGGCUAGAGUAUGGCAGAGGGGGGUAGAAUUCCACGUGUAGCGGUGAAAUGCGUAGAGAUCUGGAGGAAUACCGGUGGCGAAGGCGGCCCCCUGGACAAAGACUGACGCUCAGGUGCGAAAGCGUGGGGAGCAAACAGGAUUAGAUACCCGUGUAGUCCCUGUCUCUUAUAC